CUGUGAGCUCGAUGAGUAGGGCGGGACACGUGGUAUCCUGUCUGAAUAUGGGGGGACCAUCCUCCAAGGCUAAAUACUCCUGACUGACCGAUAGUGAACCAGUACCGUGAGGGAAAGGCGAAAAGAACCCCGGCGAGGGGAGUGAAAAAGAACCUGAAACCGUGUACGUACAAGCAGUGGGAGCCUCUUUAUGGGGUGACUGCGUACCUUUUGUAUAAUGGGUCAGCGACUUAUAUUCUGUAGCAAGGUUAACCGAAUAGGGGAGCCGAAGGGAAACCGAGUCUUAACUGGGCGUUAAGUUGCAGGGUAUAGACCCGAAACCCGGUGAUCUAGCCAUGGGCAGGUUGAAGGUUGGGUAACACUAACUGGAGGACCGAACCGACUAAUGUUGAAAAAUUAGCGGAUGACUUGUGGCUGGGGGUGAAAGGCCAAUCAAACCGGGAGAUAGCUGGUUCUCCCCGAAAGCUAUUUAGGUAGCGCCUCGUGAAUUCAUCUCCGGGGGUAGAGCACUGUUUCGGCAAGGGGGUCAUCCCGACUUACCAACCCGAUGCAAACUGCGAAUACCGGAGAAUGUUAUCACGGGAGACACACGGCGGGUGCUAACGUCCGUCGUGAAGAGGGAAACAACCCAGACCGCCAGCUAAGGUCCCAAAGUCAUGGUUAAGUGGGAAACGAUGUGGGAAGGCCCAGACAGCCAGGAUGUUGGCUUAGAAGCAGCCAUCAUUUAAAGAAAGCGUAAUAGCUCACUGGUCGAGUCGGCCUGCGCGGAAGAUGUAACGGGGCUAAACCAUGCACCGAAGCUGCGGCAGCGACACUAUGUGUUGUUGGGUAGGGGAGCGUUCUGUAAGCCUGCGAAGGUGUACUGUGAGGUAUGCUGGAGGUAUCAGAAGUGCGAAUGCUGACAUAAGUAACGAUAAAGCGGGUGAAAAGCCCGCUCGCCGGAAGACCAAGGGUUCCUGUCCAACGUUAAUCGGGGCAGGGUGAGUCGACCCCUAAGGCGAGGCCGAAAGGCGUAGUCGAUGGGAAACAGGUUAAUAUUCCUGUACUUGGUGUUACUGCGAAGGGGGGACGGAGAAGGCUAUGUUGGCCGGGCGACGGUUGUCCCGGUUUAAGCGUGUAGGCUGGUUUUCCAGGCAAAUCCGGAAAAUCAAGGCUGAGGCGUGAUGACGAGGCACUACGGUGCUGAAGCAACAAAUGCCCUGCUUCCAGGAAAAGCCUCUAAGCAUCAGGUAACAUCAAAUCGUACCCCAAACCGACACAGGUGGUCAGGUAGAGAAUACCAAGGCGCUUGAGAGAACUCGGGUGAAGGAACUAGGCAAAAUGGUGCCGUAACUUCGGGAGAAGGCACGCUGAUAUGUAGGUGAAGUCCCUCGCGGAUGGAGCUGAAAUCAGUCGAAGAUACCAGCUGGCUGCAACUGUUUAUUAAAAACACAGCACUGUGCAAACACGAAAGUGGACGUAUACGGUGUGACGCCUGCCCGGUGCCGGAAGGUUAAUUGAUGGGGUUAGCGAACGCGAAGCUCUUGAUCGAAGCCCCGGUAAACGGCGGCCGUAACUAUAACGGUCCUAAGGUAGCGAAAUUCCUUGUCGGGUAAGUUCCGACCUGCACGAAUGGCGUAAUGAUGGCCAGGCUGUCUCCACCCGAGACUCAGUGAAAUUGAACUCGCUGUGAAGAUGCAGUGUACCCGCGGCAAGACGGAAAGACCCCGUGAACCUUUACUAUAGCUUGACACUGAACAUUGAGCCUUGAUGUGUAGGAUAGGUGGGAGGCUUUGAAGUGUGGACGCCAGUCUGCAUGGAGCCGACCUUGAAAUACCACCCUUUAAUGUUUGAUGUUCUAACGUUGGCCCCUAAUCGGGGUUGCGGACAGUGUCUGGUGGGUAGUUUGACUGGGGCGGUCUCCUCCUAAAGAGUAACGGAGGAGCACGAAGGUUGGCUAAUCCUGGUCGGACAUCAGGAGGUUAGUGCAAUGGCAUAAGCCAGC
rnacentral:rRNA from 1 species